CCGACUGCUUGGGCUCAAUCCUCCAGAUGAACUGAAAUGCAUGUUGGACCUGCAGGUCCAAUGAUACUCCAAUGAACAUUAUCUAAGAUGAGACGAAUUACAGGCAUCUCCGCUUAACAUCAAUAGUUUGUUCUUAAAAAUACCAACUUUAAACUGAGGAAAUGUUAAUAGUGAAUUUACAUUAAUUUUAUUAAUGAAAAAAAUUGAAUGCAUUUCCUCCAUCUCUACUCACUAUUGAUUUUCAUGCAAGUCAGUAACAAACAGUAAAACAUCUGGAAUGUAACAAUAUAUUAUCAUAAGGUUUAAAAUGAUGUUGGUAUUGACACAAGUUUAUUAACAAAAAACAGAUAUUAAUACAGCUGAAAAUAAAUAGACAAUGUAAUAUGAUCAUUUACGAUAUGAUAUGACAAAAGAAAAGCGAGAAGAGAAAAAGGAGGAACAAAAUAAGGAAAAGAAAAAAUGUCGGGUUGAUUAUAAAGACAAAUGAAGUAAUAAUACAAAAAGGGUACUCACCAGAGAGCUAUAAGAAAUAUUUACCAAUAACCGAACACUGGCAAAAAUUGGAAUGUUAAAGUCAAAAGUGAUAUAAAAAACCGAAAAGUAUUAUGACGGAAAAACCGAGUUAACCGAGCCGACAUUAUGCAGGGGAAGCCUGUACUCAUUAUUCCAACACGUUAUAUAUAUUGGAUAUAAUAUUAUCCUAAAAUUUUAUCAAAAUAAUAUUUCUAGAUGAUUCAUAAAAGUAAAAUUUAUAGGUGUGAUAUAAUUGUUACAUAUGGCAGCACAUAUGACAAUUAUAAAAUCUUGGAAAAUUAUUUUAACAUAUAUAUUGUAUAUACUGAGAUUUGCGAAAAAACAUAUAUAAAUAUCACGUAUAUUAACACUUCGAGGACUGAUGUCCGCAAGCGUUGGUUAGACAGAGGCAUUAACUUGUGUCCCGGUCCCCAAAGUAUUAAUGUUGAUGGGUGAAUAUAAAUCAUUCGAUCAA